AAUUACAGUUUGUUUUUACACUCUUGCACGUGUCUGUUUCAUAUUAUUUUUUUCAGAUCUGAGGAGGUUGAUGAGAUUGAACACGCACAUUAAUGACAUUACUUUGGAUCUCAACAAGCAUUUUGGUUGGUACAAUCUGUCCACCUCCGACGCAUCUGAACACGUGGUGUGUAUUUCAUCAUCCAUAUCACCUUCUGGUUUUUACUUUGUUGUGAAAAGAGUAUGGUUCUUGUUUAGUUUCAAUUGAAACAUGUUCACUUUUAUUGUAUUCAACUGUAAUUAGUUUUUACUACUUUAUUUUCUGAUACAACUGCUAUAAUUGAAAAGUAUUGUUUGUUUGGGGCAGUUUUAUUUUUUUUAUUCCUUAUCAGUUUUACAUUGUUAGACCCUAAUGUAUUAAUGUUUAAUUGUUGCAUGUACAGUUUUUAGGAUUCUUGUUGUUUUCUUAUUUUUCUUUUGUUGCUUAUGUCAUCAAAUGAAAUGAUACGUUCUGACCAAAUGACCGAUUGAGUUUUUCAAAACAAAGAAUGAUCACCAAGUCGUUCUCUAAAUUGUGAAAUAUGAAAAAACUCAUUUUAACCCCAACUAUUUUGAGUGAAAAUAACUUAUUGUGUAUAGUAUGUCAUCUAAGUGCUUUGUCAAAUGUACAGCAUUCGUUUAGAAAUGUAUCUUUAUUUGUAUAACGCUGUAAAAUUAACACAUUUUAAUUUGGAAAUGUAUAUUAUAAAUUACAUUUGAUGUCAUUUUAUUUGACACCUAAUGUUUCUGCAAUCCAAAAGAUACAAAUUUAGCCCAUCGUAAUAUCAGUAAAUGCCGAAAGAUAACACUUGGGUUGUUAAAACAGUCUGGCUGAUUUUCGGACAAUUAAAAAGCAGGAGCGAUGACGUCUGCCUGCGACGCGCAGAGAUCUUCACGCGCCGCCCUUGUGCCUUUCAUGAAUCUAUUCUAUCCCCUCCCCUCAACGGCAUCUCAUUAACGGCGUUAAUUUUGUUUUAUAUACUGUACAUUUCUGUCGUAAAAAAAGAUGUAUUUUCAUUGUUCUCUUUUUAAUAAAACAAUGAUUCGUGCUCAUAGCGGACACACUGUGUUUUCCACCUCGUUUUUUAAAAAGUGUCUUGGGACUAAGCUGCAGGCCAGAGGACAAUUUCCCUGUACAUAGUUUACAUCAUGAGUCACAUGUGAUGACUCAUGAUGUAAACUACGUACAGAAGGACUCAAC
ensembl:lncRNA